rnacentral:tRNA from 1 species
GGAGGGUUCGCAUAGUGGUCUAGUGCACACGCUUGGAAAGCGUGCGUGGGGAAACCCACCGCGAGUUCGAAUCUCGCACCCUCCGCCA